CCUCAACUGCUCGCUACAGCGACAGAGCUGAUCGCUGCAUGUCGAUACGAAGCAGCGUAUUCUCUGAGCCCAUAUUGCUUCCUCUGUGACUCUGCAGAAAUCUACCAGACAGUAUCAGUGAGCGCAUUGCUUACGUUAAAAUCUUCUGGAUUAAAAUUCCCCUUCCUUUGUUUUAUUUUGUGGUUUAUCCGCGCGACAUUGGACGCUGCUGCGAGAGCGUCCUGUGCCUCAAGUUUGUGGCUCGUUUCCCCGUCGCGGUGUGGCAAGUUUGAGGGCAAAAGCAGACAGAACUGAAGUCCUCUUUGCUACUGAACAGGAUUCAAUGAAAAUGUCUGUCUGCGUCCACGAGAACCGCAAGUCUCGUGCCAGCACGGGCUCUAUGAACAUCUUCCUGUUUCACAAGUCCUCGUAUGCUGACAGCGUGCUAAUGCACCUGAAUGCUCUUCGUCAGCAGAGGCUCUUCACUGAUGUUCUGCUCCAUGCAGGCAACCGCUCUUUCCCAUGCCACAGGGCUGUACUGGCCGCCUGCAGCCGCUACUUUGAGGCCAUGUUCAGCGGAGGGCUGAGAGAGAGUCAGGACAGUGAAGUGGACUUCCGGGACUCAAUUCAUCCUGAGGUCUUGGAGCUCCUUCUGGACUAUGCCUACUCAUCAAGAGUGAUAAUAAAUGAGGAGAAUGCAGAGUCUCUGCUUGAGGCUGGUGACAUGCUGGAGUUUCAGGACAUCCGAGAUGCCUGUGCGGAGUUCCUGGAGAAAAACCUCCACCCAUCCAACUGCCUGGGUAUGCUGCUGCUUUCUGAUGCCCACCAGUGCACCCAGCUGUUUCAGCUGUCCUGGAGCAUGUGCCUCAGCAAUUUUCCUGCUAUCUGCAAGACUGAGGAGUUUCUGCAGCUGCCCAAGGACAUGCUGGUCCAACUGCUGGCACAUGAGGAGCUUGAAACAGAGGACGAGUGUCUGGUCUACGAGUCAGCGCUCAACUGGGUGAACUAUGAUCUUGAGAGAAGACAAUGUUACCUUCCAGAGCUGCUACGUACUGUGCGUCUUGCUCUCCUGCCUGCCAUCUUUCUCAUGGAGAAUGUCUCCACAGAGGAGCUCAUCAUUGCACAAGCCAAAAGCAAAGAGCUGGUGGAUGAGGCCAUCCGCUGUAAAUUGCGCAUCUUGCAAAAUGAUGGUGUCGUCAACAGUCCUUGUGCCCGGCCUCGUAAGACCAGUCAUGCCCUGUUCUUGCUUGGUGGCCCCACAUUUAUGUGUGACAAGCUCUACCUGGUGGACCAGAAGGCCAAAGAGAUCAUUCCAAAGGCAGACAUACCCAGUCCACGCAAGGAGUUCAGCGCAUGUGCGAUUGGCUGCAAAGUGUACGUGACAGGGGGACGGGGCUCAGAGAACGGUGUGUCUAAGGACGUUUGGGUUUAUGAUACAUUACACGAAGAAUGGUCCAAAGCAGCUCCAAUGCUGAUAGCACGUUUCGGUCAUGGAUCGGCUGAGUUACGCCACUGCUUGUAUGUUGUUGGGGGUCACACAGCUGCCACUGGCUGUCUGCCUGCUUCACCAUCUGUGUCCUUGAAGCAGGUAGAGCAGUUUGACCCAGCUGAUAACAAGUGGAGCAUGGUAGCACCACUGCGAGAGGGAGUAAGCAACGCAGCUGUUGUCAGUGUAAAGCUCAAGUUGUUUGCCUUUGGAGGAACGAGUGUGGCCCAUGACAAGCUACCCAAAGUUCAGUGCUAUGAUUCUGCUGAAAAUCGUUGGACAGUCCCAGCUUCCUGCCCACAACCGUGGCGCUAUACUGCAGCUGCUGUUCUCGGAAACCAGAUCUUUGUAAUGGGGGGAGACACAGAAUUCUCCGCUUGCUCUGCCUACAAAUUCAGCAGCGACUCUUAUCAGUGGACCAAGGUAGGAGAUGUUACAGCAAAACAAAUGAGUUGCCAGGCGGUGGCCUCUGGAAAUAAACUGUAUGUGGUGGGUGGCUACUUCGGUACACAGCGCUGUAAAACACUUGACUGCUAUGACCCCACAUUGGAUGCCUGGAACAGCAUAACUACAGUACCUUAUUCCUUAAUCCCCACUGCCUUUGUCAGCACCUGGAAACACCUCCCAGCCUGAUGCGUGUCUGUACUCCCCUGUGAAACCCCACUGAUCCUAAGUGGGAAAAGGAAAAGUGCAGGAACAAAUGGUCAGGAUUUUCUUGUAUCCCUUUGUCGUUUUGUCUACUGGAUUCCAACUGUGAAGAAAUACACUAAAACCCAUCUGUGCAAUUUUAUGAAGAGCUAUACGUGUGUGAUGCCCAGUCGCAAAGUUUUUCCUGCUGCAAGUGCACCAAAAUGUUUGUACUUCCAACGUUUCAAGUAUAUUGUGAUGUCAUACCUGUAUUUUGUGGAGUAUCAGAACAUGGGCUUCACCUUGAAAACCAAAAGGACUGCAAUGCGUCCUAUAAGACCAGUCUUCUUCCAGUGUAUUUCCAUCAUAACCAUCGUCUUUGUCCCCCACAUUUGUUUAUUUUGACUUUUUUUUUUUUUUUUUAAUUUACAAUGCUGAUGCCAUGCAAGCUAACUUGGACUCCUUUGCCUGUUUACAUUUAUAUACUUCUUGAAGGAUGAGUGGAUGCUUUUGAUUUGGAGAUCAGCAAGAGACUCGAUGCAUGAUUGGAGAUGUUAAGAUGGGAGGUUAAAAACUCCCUCUUUCUUUUGGACAAGUACCUCAUUUACUGUUAUGCAUUUACUUUCUCUUCUCCCAUGGUGAUCUUAAAAAUAGAUCCUGCUCAGAAUGAGAGGCUGAAGCAUAAUGUAGACUCUUAAUGGACUACGAUAAAGUUAUGAUUUUGCUGGUUUAGAGGAUAUAAGGACCGAAGGAAAGAUAAGCACGCCUUUUUUACAUAUUUGUCCUUCACACCUCUGUACGAGGAAGACCGAUAGAUGCUGACUGUUUCUGCUGAACAGACCGUAGCAGCUUGGUGUGAAAAUGGACAAGGGCACAGGGUGUCCCAAGGUACACACACACCAGCUGUGUAUAUGUGACUGAGUGCGGGAGAGGCAUGUCCCAACAUGACCCCAUUCAGCCCCCUUCCCACAACACUCUAUCAUACCCUCACCCCCUCCAAUAUAAACACCUAACAAACAGUUUGAGCAUGCCCUCUGAUGACAAGAAACACUAUCAUUGCAUUAAUACCUUCUAUGGACUAAUUUACUCCUGCAAGAGACUCGUUGAGUUGUGCGAGACACUUCUGCUUAGCUGUUUUUGCCUGUACUAUUAUAAGCACAUGCAGUCACAGUAACCGUGAAUGACAGGAGAAGAGAGAAAUGAGGUGAGAGUCAUUUCAUCACCCUGUGAGGGAAAGCAGUCUCUAUGGCAAUGACAACAGGAAAAACCUGAACUGUAAAUUAAAAAAAGAAAAUAUUUCAGUGUCUAUUAAUAGUCUUAAUUUAUGAUGUUUUUAAGGCCUUUGUUUUAUUUGAUCCACUGUGUUUUAACAAUAUUUUGUUUAUAUGAUUUUUAUUUGUAGUUUUUUUUUUUCUGCUUGCGUACAUGUUUGUAAGUUUUUGUACUGCGCAUGGCCCAAAAUGCUCUCUGUUCCUGCUGCUCUUUUGCACAUUUACGGGAGAUAAUUUUGACUGAGCGGGUGGAAUUUGUAGUGGUCAGCGAACGCUUGAACCUCUUGCUCAUCUGAUCAAAAACAGAGAGGUUUGAGGGUCAUAGGUCAUUGAUGGGAUAAGAAUGGGCUGAAUGACGUCACUCCUUCAGAUUACCCAGUGUGGGAUAGGGGAGUUGUGAAGGGGUUUUGAGAAUUCAGACAGCUUGUUGGACUGUAUGAAAUUUAAAUAUGGACUAUUUCUGCUCACUAGACAUAUCAAAACCUUACAAUUGGUCCAGAUUCUUCAAAUAAUGUUUUUGCAGCACCUAAAUUGUAGUUAAAGCUGUGUGUAAUUUCUGUGCCACUAGUGCUACCAAAUGGAAUUGCAAAAAUAGCUGUUUGUUUUCAAACAACUUUUUGAAUUUGCCCUCACCUUCUGUUAAUAGAACAAACAGAUAGUCCCACCCCCAACUCACACCAUUGGUUGAGUCACUGUUAUUGUGUUGUAUGGAUGGGUCGCUCAAAACAAACAGAGGAAAGUUUUAUAGCGCCACAGAGUGUUUACAGUUUUCAAGAAAAUUAACCAACAAAUGGCUUACAGCCAUCUCUGCAUAUUAAGUUGGGCAAAGAGAAUGUACUUCAACACAGAAGUUUCACACUUUAGCUUUAAUCUUAACUUCUGGUCUACUUUAACAAUGAGCGCUUGAUCACACAUCAUUUCCACCUUGUUCUUAUGGUCUACUGACUUGCAUCAAGUGAGGUUGACUACAGCUAUCUGUGUUUCAACUGCUAAUAGCCAUACUACAAUGUUGGCAUAAUUUGUUGUCCCUGACAAGUGGUUUUGACCAGUGCUCAUUGACCUCAUGCCAGACUCAGUCCAGUAUGCACCCUCUCUAAGUGCUGGAACUCUGUGGGUUGUAAGGAACCUGUGGAGCUGAGGAAGGUGACAAUCACAGCUGCUCCCUAAUCAGCUGGAACUGUCACCAGCAUGUCGUAACUCUGACUGUCCCUUACAGUUCAGUGUAGAGCGGAAGAUUCUUCUCAGCUAGAGGAAAGUUUUCUACAGAGCUUGGUUUUGUUGCAGCCUCCACCUGUUACUGCUUGCAACUAUGCUAGCUGUAAAUAUGCUAUAUUUCAUGAGGUGCACUGCAUGAAAUCAUUGUCUUAGUAUUUUUUACUUAUUUUCCAGUUUAAAAAAAACAUCCUUUUAAAAAAGAUUGGUUUACUUGAAGCAAAAUUACAAAGAUAUUAAGUCUUGUUUGGAGAAAUGUAACCAAAUUUAGUGAGGUUUAUCCUUAAAACAAGGGGGAAAAAAUGCCAUUGGGGUAAGAAAGAUAACCUUGUUUUUGCUUUAAAUUGGCUGUAUUUCUCUUACCCUUUUGGCAAAUUGUUUGUUCUUGCUUUUAAGUACAAAACUCAAUACAUUUGGUUAGUUUUCUCUGAAAACGAGACUUUAUACCUUACAUUAACUUCAAGUAAAUUUAUCUUGUUUUAAGGUUUAGAUAUUUUUUUUACUGGGAAACGACAGAAAUGCAGAGUUAGAAAAUGCUGUGAGUUCAAUAUUAUUGGUAGAUUUAAGAGUGACCACAAUGGUGUUUAUGAUUAAGCUAAAUCCCAAAGGUCUCAAAACAACUACUUCUAAAAAGCGAUGUCUACAUAAGGGCAAAGACCAUAGUGCUUUCAUGUCAGUGCCAAAUUAACUAUUUGAAUAUUCAUUUCAGAGCAUCACUGUUAUAAAUGGAGACAAAACAAAGGUUUUGGUUAGGUUGAUAAACACCACUGGCAAUUUGUGAUGCUAUAGCUGUUGUGACAACACUUUUGUUCAUGCUGAUUGCAAACAAACUAUAUAGCUUUACAUUAAUGGACAUUAACAAUAUACUCUUCUAUGUUGUUCCACUGCACAGCGAUACAGCAAGUUUGCUGUCUAAAGGAAAGCUCUGUAUGCACACAUUGAGAAAGAGAACAGUAGUGAGGGGUUCACAUUCCUUCUACAAAACCCUCCCAGAAAAGCAGUUUCAGGAAAUUCAUGCUUACCAUGUUCCCUUUGGCCUUUAGGGGCUAACACACCCUCCAUCUUUUUUUCGUCUCACUUUGGAAUGCCCAAUGUGUUCUAAGCCCUCAUGGUGGUGUAGUGACUUGCCUCAAUCCAGGUGGUGGAGGACGAAUCUCAGUUGCCUCUGCGUCUGAGAUGUCAAUCCGCAUAUCUUAUCAUGUGGCUUGUUGCGAGCAUUACCGCAGAGACAUAGCAUGUGUGGAGGCUUCACACUAUUCUCUGCGGCAUCCACGCACAACUCACCAUGUGCCCCACCAAGAGCAAACCACAUUAUGGCGACCAUGAGGAGGUUACCCCAUGUGACUCUAGCCUUCUUAGCAACCGGGCCUAUUUGGUUGCUUUAGGAGGCCUGGCAGGAGUCGCUCAGCACGCCCUGGAUUUGAACUCGUGACUCCAGGGGUGGUAGUCAGCGUCUUUACUCGCUGAGCUACCCAGGCCCCCACACACCCUCCAUCUUUGACCCCUCUCGCCCUCCCAAAAUACCUUUUCACAAAACACUGCACACGCUGACCUCCAUCUAACCAGAGGAUGCCGUUCUGCCCCUUGCAAAGCACAGUUGCCACAGCAAUGGUCAACAAUCAGUGCUCCCCUCUUCCAUUUGAACUAGUUAUUUUCUCUUUUCUCUCCCUCUUCUUUGCCCCUCCUCCCUCCUUCCUUGUCUCCCUCACUCCUGCUCAAGUGAAAGAUUCAUUCAGUGGUGAUUCUUAGGUUUAUGUGCAUUGAAAACUCUUAAAUGCUGUAUGCCUUCAUAAACAGACACAUUGCUAAAACACUGUCAAUGUUGGACUGUACUGUCGUUUUUGUGGUUGUCAUUUUUUUUUUUUUUCCAUUUCUAUAUUUGUCGUAUUAUAUUAUUGUAUUGUUAUUUGAUCUCAACCACAGCGGUUAACAUUAUUUUGUACAAGUGAUUUUUUUCACAAUGUGAAAUUCAUGGCUAAAUAAAGAUAAGAGGUUUUCCUCUUGAUAGAUAUAAAACA